CUUGCCUGUUACAACCAAGGACAUUCCUAUGAGAUAAAAGGGUUGAGAAGCAAUACCUAGAGUAUUGUAAUACUCUAGGUAUCCUGAUGAUCUAUCAUCCAUCAUCCUGAUGAAGAUGAGUUUAAUGCCGUCAGACUGACAAGCUAUGUUUCAUGUCCUAUAUCCUGCUACAAAGAUUCGUCCGUAUCCCAUCUCAGGCUGAGAGAUGCUGAUGUGAGGCCCAGAGGGUGGUGCCUGAGAGAGAAACCGGCGGUUGCAUAAACCGAGGCCGCUUCAGGUUAAAGGGGAGCGAGUUCUGUCUAUCCAAACGAACACCGUGAGAACUGAAGGGAUAAAUGUACCACCCGAAGGAUUCUCCUGGGACCCUCCCCAAGGACCUGGAUUCCUUAAAGAUCCCGCCAGAGCAGGAGCACUCGGAGUACGCCUUCCCCAAGCAAAGAGUCUAAAGGUCUGGGAGAUCCCCUCCCUCCCUCGUCAUGGACAAGACCCAUUCUCAGUGCUCUGCCCCACCUAACUCCAGGGCCCCACGGAAGAAACGAGAGAGGAAUCUAGAGGUCAGUGUCCCUCCCUCACUACCCCAGCUGGGUGAUCCCUGGGCGACACAAUCACCGUCCCAAAUCUCACCCUGCAGCAGCAUCGUCUCCCGCGCGUUCUCCAGGUAUUUGCACAGGCGCGGGACGCCCUCUUCCUCCAGGCCAGCGCUCCGGGACUUUGCACGGUGGAAAAGAGGGACGUCAUUUGUCCCUAAACAGAAUAACCUGAGACCGCUGGUACCAUGGCUGUGGACGUGUCGGAUCGUGGGAAUCCCUAGCGCUGGUCGCGCUCCUGAGUCCGCUUCCAAACCUCAUUCACGACCCGAAAAGGAUGCAUGCAUAUAUAUGUGUGUGUGUAUGCACACAUAUAUAUGCUUUAGCGGAAUGGAAUAAAUAAUAUCUAUAAAAUAACUGUUAUAUGUAUUAAUAUAUAAAAUAUAUCUAAUUUAUGUAUUUUAGUGGAAUGGAAUCGAAUAGAAAAUACUGGCCUGCAUCACAAUGAG
rnacentral:lncRNA from 1 species